rnacentral:rRNA from 1 species
AUUGAACGCUGGCGGCAGGCCUAACACAUGCAAGUCGAACGGUAACAGGAAGAAGCUUGCUUCUUUGCUGACGAGUGGCGGACGGGUGAGUAAUGUCUGGGAAACUGCCUGAUGGAGGGGGAUAACUACUGGAAACGGUAGCUAAUACCGCAUAACGUCGCAAGACCAAAGAGGGGGACCUUCGGGCCUCUUGCCAUCGGAUGUGCCCAGAUGGGAUUAGCUAGUAGGUGGGGUAACGGCUCACCUAGGCGACGAUCCCUAGCUGGUCUGAGAGGAUGACCCGCCAACGGGGAACUGAGACCCGGUCCAGACCCCUACGGGAGGCAGCAGGGGGGAAUUUUGCAAAAUGGGCGGAAGCGUGAUGCAGCCAUGCCGCGGGUAUGAAGAAGGCUUUCGGGUUGUAAAGUACUUUCAGGGGGGGGGAGGGGAGUAAAGUUAAAACCUUUUCUCAUUGACGUUACCCGCAAAAAAAGCCCCGGCAAACUCCUG